rnacentral:rRNA from 1 species
CACGUAGGGGGCGAGCGUUGUCCGGAUUUAUUGGGCGUAAAGAGCUCGUAGGCGGUUUCGUAGGUCGGGUGUGAAAACCCCAGGCUCAACCUGGGGACGCCACCCGAUACUGCGAUGACUAGAGUCCGGGAGAGGGAUGUGGAAUUCCAGGUGUAGCGGUGAAAUGCGUAGAUAUCUGGAGGAACACCGGUGGCGAAGGCGACAUCCUGGACCGGUAUUGACGCUGAGGCGCGAAAGCCAGGGGAGCAAACGGG